CCAUUGCCAUGAAUCUGCGCCUCUCUCUCUCUCUCUCUCUCUCUCUCUCUCUCCCCUCGGAGAUGAAUCGAUUUCAUUCCGCCCUUCUUCAUCAUACGUUCCCACGGGUUCUCAUCCUCCCGUUAGCCAUCGUAAUCAGUUAUCAUCACACAUACCCAUUCAUUGGUGUUGGAAUCGAUUGCAGCUCUCCACGACUCGUUAAUCUUUACCCCAUGCCCACAAACGAAGAAAGACUCCUUCCUCUCUUUCAACGUUGGCCAAGUUCGAGUCGCCCCAUGGCCACGCCGCGAGAACAUUCGACUCACUGAGUCCGAGAAGAUCGAAGGCACUAGUAGCUGGGAGACCCUCGAAUGGACCAAGAUCGAGCCGGCUCAGAGGUCUGUUCCCGAAAGGUUGCUAGGGUUUUUGCUUGAAGCGGAACAGGUCAUAGUAGAGGGAUGUGGUGUUGUUCUAGUAAAUAAAGAUGAGGCAGGUACCUUAUUUGUAACCAAUUAUUGCUAUCUCCUUUUUCUGGUAAGGAUCUUAUUCUUUUUAAACUCUCGCUUAAUCUCCUUUUUUGGAUCCAAUAUGGUUGAUAUCUUCAAUAUCUUCCUAACGUUUUUGCUUCCUUUUUAAAGAGUGAGGGAUCCCGGAACAUUAUUCCUCUUGGCACCAUUCCCUUGGCUACGAUCGAGAAGUUCAACAAAAUUGUGAGUCUACUUCUGUGUCGAGAGGACAAUGAGGGUUCGUGGCCAAUCGGUUGGGGAAUCAAUGUUUUCUCUGAAACCGAUCGAUAGUGUAAGCUCGUUCCUAAGAGGUACAAAAUUUGACUUUGAUUCCCUAUCAUCUUCACGGCUUUAGGAUGUGGGUUUAUUAAUUUUGUUUUCUCGUAUUAUAAACGAUAGAGGGUUUGGGGUAUUCGUGGGGGUUUAAUGAGUUCAAUUAGUUCUUUAAUGAGACCAUCCCAUUCUUUUGGACUCGAUAGGUGAGAUUAGGAUAGUUUAAGGACGAAAUAGGUGAUUUUGGAAGUUUAAGGACAAAGUAGAAAAAUGGAUGAUACUUUAAGGGAUAAAAACAUAAAAAAAAAACUCAAAAAAAGAAAAGAAAAGAACAAUGAAGCCAUGGGUUGCCAAAUAAGCCUUGGGGAGCAGCGCCAACAGCGAGGCCCUAUAUCCAUUUCAUCUUUCCGUAAGGAUGAGCAAACACCGAACCAAAAAGGAAAUAUGAGCAAAUACCCACAUCCUAAAUCACAGAAAACUAGAUAAUAAAAAACAGACAACAAAGACAUAUACAUGGGUCCCAUAAACCAACAUCCUAAAACCCAUAAAUAAAUUAUAGAACAAGGAAAAAUAAAGCGCAAAAAAAAAAAAAAAAAACCCCACGAAUACCCAAAAUUAAUAAAAAAAAAAUAGGAAAAAUGAGCGUAGGUAAUCGACUAAUACAAUUUUAGCAUGGGGUAGUGGUAGUUUAGUUGCAGUUUCUUGAAAUUAAUGUAUGAAUUUUUUUUUGGGUUUGGGCUAGCUUAUGUUGUUUUCUUAUUGGGCUUAUAUAGUUGGUUAGGCCAAAGUCUAAUGCGUAAGGUACCCUAAGUAUUUAAAGUGAAUUGAAUGAGAGAAGCUGCAGGUUAGAGCCUCGAUUUUUCCCAUUUAGUUGCCUCUUGUUUUUGCCGAGAACAUUGGCUGCAUAUGCAGUCCACUUGCUUGCUCAUUUCUUGAUAGAUUUCCACUAAACUCAACAAUAGAUUUAGGGAAAAACCAACACAGUUUUGGAGUGCAAGUACAUUGAACUAGGGUUUUAUUGUAAUAUAACGUUUUGGGAGAGGGAGAGAACAAUAGCGGCGGUUGAAGUCUCUUGGGAGGUGAUCAUUUUGGUUUUUUUUGAGGUAAUAAUUCUUUUCAUCCAAGCUAUACCCAUUUGCGGAAUGGACAAACUCUUGAGUUGGACAUUGGUGUUUGUCAUUAUAUUUGUGUCUAUGAGAGAGAGAGAGUACACGAAGGUGGUGCUUGUGACUGUGCGUGGUGAUGUGGUGCUGCGUGCGUGUGGUGAUGCAGUGCUGGUGUGCAUAAUGGAAUGGAUAAGUUGUGGGUUUGUCGGAGUUAAAACAAUAACUUUCCCUCCUAGAACUUUGUUUAUAUCUUUUAUAUGGAGGCUAGGAGUUUGGGUGCUAUUGGGCUAAUAGAAGUUAGGCAAUGACAGGUAGAUUUUGGAUGUGAACUGUGAUUUAAUAUUGGGAGGUAAAGCUUGACGUGUGCGGUCAGGUGUUAAGAUUCAGGUGUUGGUAAUAGGAUUUAGUAAUUUAGUGUAGACUCUAAAUUGGUAUUUAUGUGAUAUUUAUUUGUGUAUAGGCUAGUUUCUCAUUUCGUGAUUGAGUGGUUAAGCGUGUAUCAGUAUUAAAAAUAGUAUUAAGGAGAUAAUAGUCAUUGGGCUACAUAAUUGCAGUGACAUCAUUUUUUCCUGUAGGUUUGGUGGAGAAUGUUGCAAGUGGUUUUCUAUAUUAUUGAGAUAAUCACACAUAGUUUAUACAUACGUUAGUGACUGAAUGUAGUUCAAUUAUGGUGGUAUUGAAUCUGAAGAAAUUGUAUUUGCGAUAGUACGCUUGGAAAUUGAUUUAAGAAUGUAACUUAGAGGAUUGCUUCGAUUUCGUAUGUAGGAUUGGCUAGUUUAAUUGUGUGAGGUUGUGCUAUAGUUUUGUUAUUUAUAAUGCUCGCUACAUCCCGUAUACUUUUGAAUUGUUACUCUUUGAUUGGUCCAUCAUUUGUAUACUUGGUAUCUUAGUUGAGACGUGAUUAUGUUUUGUUAGGAGGGGUCAAUAAUUAUGAUUGUCUAAUAAAAUACUCUUGGAAUUGUUGAUAUUUAUUAGGUAAUGAAUAGUGGUAAGAAUGUUCAUAAUUCGGAUGUUACGUCGUUCCAAUGAAACCAAACCAAACCAAACCGAGCCUUAUGUCCCAGUCACUUGGGGUCGGCUACAUGAAUCCUUUUUGAUGUUACGCUGAUCCAAUCCGAUAAAAAAAUAGAAGACUAAAUGUUUUAAAGUGACAAUAGUUGGUUAUUGAAAUUGUGGGUUUUUCUAAUCGUGGUUGUAGGAGUUUGGUUUUUGGAACUUGACAAUUAAUGGAUAGGUUUUGGCAAGGUUGUGUCAGCUUGAUUUGAAAGGCCAUGUAAUGGGCUAUGGCUAUAACAGAAUGUGAAUGUUCGGGCUGGUUUGAGUAUAUAGAAGGGGAUUAUAAUAAUUUGUUGGGUGACAUGACACUAAAGUGAUAGACUGCACCGGUGGUGAUUUGAAAGUUUAAUGCAGUACGAUUUGUGGAAUUAUGGAAAGCUUAGGAAAACGAAAAUAUGUGUGGGUAAACUUAUGAGAUUGGAGUUGUUAUCGUGCCAUGCCAGUAAAUAUGGAGUAUUACCGACUUGAUGAUUAGUAGUUUUGGAGUUCUCAAUGCAUUUGCGGCUAAUUGUUUAAACUCCUACUUUUGGGGAUAAAUUAGAGAUGGGAUUUUGAAUGACAAGGGAAUAUUUUAAUGCAAGAUUCAAUGCUGUUAGAUUUUGGGUUAGUGCGCAUGGAGUCUGUCCAUAAGAUGAGGGGUGAAAUUCAAGGAUUUUAGGUGGUGAUGUUUAUUAUGUAUUUUCGUAAUGGACAAACCCCGGUGUUGGACAUUCAUGUAUGUUAUUAUAUUUGUGUGUGGUUUUGUGUCACAGAGAGAGAGAGAGAGAGAGAGAGAGAGAGAGAGAGAGAGAGACAGAGAGAGUGGUGCUUGUGACUGUGCGUGGUGAUGUGGUGCUGCGUGUGCGGUGCUAGUGUGCAUAGUGGAAUGGAUAAGUUGGGGGUUUGUCGGAGUUAAAACAAUAACUUUCCCUCUUAAAACUCUGUUUAUAUCUUUUUAUAUGGAGGCUAGGAGUUUGGGUGCUAUUGGGCUAAUAAAAGUAAGGCAAUGACAGGUAGAUUUUGGAUGUGGCUUGUGAUUUAGUAUUUGUUGGUAAAGCUUUAGGUGUGCGGUCUAGUGUUAAGACUUAGGUGUUUGUAAUAGGAUUUGGCAAUUUAGUCUAGACUCUAGAUUGGUAUUUGUAUGUGAUUUAUUUGUGUAUAAGCUGGUCUCUCUUUCGUGAUUGAGUUGCAUUGCCAUCGGGACCAAGCGGCUGUUUAAGUGUGUAUCAGUAUAAAAAAAAGUAUUACGUAGGUAUUAGUCAUCGGGCGACACAAUUGCAGUGACAACAUUUUUUGCCGUAGGUUUUGGAUUGGUUAUUGGAGGAGAAUGUAGCAAGUGGUUACUUUAUUAUUGGGAUAAUCACACAUAGUUUAUGCAUACCUUAGUGACUGAAUGUAGUUCAAUUACGGUGGUAUUGAAUA